rnacentral:lncRNA from 1 species
UGUAUUGAAGUGUUGUUUUUGAAGGGUACAUACCUUGUAUAUGAAAUAAACAAAACAAAUACCAUUUUGUAUUUCUUUUUUAUGUCAGUCAAUGAGUUUUGACACAAAAAAAAAAAGGGUAUAGUAAUAUCACACUCAAUAGAAGAACAAUAAAACAUGUAUGAAAUAUUAAAACAACAAAUAUCAUUUAAAUUAAUGCAUCUAUAUUACAUUCACAAAAAUAAAAUAUGUUUAUAUUGUCUCAUCCUCAUGUAUUCCUACAAACAUUGUAGAUACUUCUCUAGCGUAAACAAAUCACAUGUAUAAAUGAGUUUCGAAGUAGGUGUGGUAGGAAGAGUAGGAUAAAUUUUGAAUGAAACAACUAGAAAAGACAUUAACUUUCAGGCAGAGAAAAGAGUAAAUGGCCUUUUCUUUAACCUUCUUACCCAGUUGUUUCAACCCCCAAUAGUUGCAUCACAUUACCCCGUCUUCGUAUAUAAUUGUUCACCCUGCCAUAACAUCCGUCCUUCUAGUCUAAUGUAGUCACCCAAUUAAUUUGCUCUCCAUGAAUAUUAUGGUAGCCCAUGCAUUCCAUGGGCAUGCAAGUUACUUGCAAACUUGUACCUCUCUGAGAGGAGUGCUUGGAUCUGCCUAAUAUCGUUUUUGCCGAAGAUAUCACGAUUCUCUCCCCACAUGAGAUGUUGAUGGUAAGGUUUUGAAUGUAUUGAGCAUCGGCAACAAACGUCUAUUGUCCUUUUUGAAGACUUACAUGAAUUUUUUUUUACUCUGUAUUUAUUUGUAAGAGCAGAAUUUAACCCUCUUGUUCAGAAACCAUAAUAGAAUUACUAAUACAUUUGCAUAAUUUUUAGAAGUAAUAACUAUAAGAAUUCGUAAUUGAAAAUAACAUCCUUUUGGAACGUCAUGAGUAUUAAGGAAAUAUAAAGAACAGAUAAAAUAUACAUAUAAUUGAAGGUGUAAUUGCUUGUAGGUUUGGAUCAUUUAUCCAAAAGACGUCAUUUGUGAAUGCCAUUUAUCUUCAAUGACUUGGUGCCAGACAACUUUUUUUAUUAGUGCCAAACAAAUUUGUUUUCCAAGCAACUUCAAUGACUUGGUUCCACGCUAUCAAGCAAUUCACAACUGUGAAGCACAAAAAAAAUUUGACAACUUUGAAAGUUUGAAUGCACCAAAAAGUAAGUCACAACUCUGAAGGAAAAUUUUUAAAGGUCACUACGAAAGCAAAACACUCUAUUCCUUAUGGGCUUUGAAAGGACCUUUGUGACUUUUAUUGUUUCACUUAGGAUACAUCAUCCUCUAAAAGAAGUUUGUUGCAGGUGUUGAGAAACAGCAAAUAGCCCUCUCCAAAACAUCUUCUGGAUUCGGUCAAUGGUUAGUCCAUCAACUGCCGAUGCUGUUAUUUUAUAGCGGACUCAAAACCUUAAAAAAAGAUGAUUUAUUUUGGCCAGUCAAAAAAGAUCAUAGUUGGAAAUUUUGAUACAAAUAUAGAGAAAAUAAAAAAGAUGGAUAUAAGAAUACCUAUCGAAUGAACGAUGAAAAGGAAAAUAAUACCAAACCUGCAUCAGUCUCCUAAUUCGCCAAAUUAUCAUGAAUUUAUCAAAAGAAUUUUUUCAGAGUCAUAGAAUGCGACUCAAAGGAAUCCCUUUUAGAUCUCCUGACAAAGGAAAAAGGAAUGACAAAUAAAGUUAUUAAAAUACUCGAAAGCAAGUGGCUAAAUUAAACUACAUAAUCACAUGAAAGGAUAUUUUACUUGUAGGAAGGGAUGAGAGUGAAAGCGAUAGAGAAAGUAAGGGAAGAGAGAGAGGCAUUUUUUUCCAGUCAACAGAGGCAACUAUGAUUAGGGAGAUAGAAGAGAAAGGGUCUGUCAUUAUUAACCGACUGUUGGGAGAAAGAAAUAAAUAAGCAACCGUUAGGUUUCUUAUACAAA